rnacentral:rRNA from 1 species
GGAGAAGCUAGUAAGGGCUUACGGUGGAUGCCUAGGCGCCAAGUGCCGAAGAAGGACGUGGGUCACUGCGAAAAGCCUCGGGGAGCCGUGAACAGGCGUUGAUCCGGGGAUGU